rnacentral:rRNA from 1 species
UGGGGAAUAUUGGACAAUGGGCGAAAGCCUGAUCCAGCCAUGCCGCGUGUGUGAAGAAGGUCUUCGGAUUGUAAAGCACUUUAAGUUGGGAGGAAGGGCAGUAAAUUAAUACUUUGCUGUUUUGACGUUACCGACAGAAUAAGCACCGGCUAACUCUGUGCCAGCAGCCGCGGUAAUACAGAGGGUGCAAGCGUUAAUCGGAAUUACUGGGCGUAAAGCGCGCGUAGGUGGUUCGUUAAGUUGGAUGUGAAAUCCCCGGGCUCAACCUGGGAACUGCAUUCAAAACUGACGAGCUAGAGUAUGGUAGAGGGUGGUGGAAUUUCCUGUGUAGCGGUGAAAUGCGUAGAUAUAGGAAGGAACACCAGUGGCGAAGGCGACCACCUGGACUGAUACUGACACUGAGGUGCGAAAGCGUGGGGAGCA